UGGGGAAUUUUGGACAAUGGGCGAAAGCCUGAUCCAGCAAUGCCGCGUGAGUGAAGAAGGCCUUCGGGUUGUAAAGCUCUUUUGUCAGGGAAGAAACGGUGAAGGCUAAUAUCCUUCGCUAAUGACGGUACCUGAAGAAUAAGCACCGGCUAACUACGUGCCAGCAGCCGCGGUAAUACGUAGGGUGCAAGCGUUAAUCGGAAUUACUGGGCGUAAAGCGUGCGCAGGCGGUUUUGUAAGUCUGACGUGAAAUCCCCGGGCUCAACCUGGGAAUUGCGUUGGAGACUGCAAGGCUAGAAUCUGGCAGAGGGGGGUAGAAUUCCACGUGUAGCAGUGAAAUGCGUAGAGAUGUGGAGGAACACCGAUGGCGAAGGCAGCCCCCUGGGUCAAGAUUGACGCUCAUGCACGAAAGCGUGGGGAGCAAACA
rnacentral:rRNA from 1 species